rnacentral:lncRNA from 1 species
CGGCCGCUGAGGUCCAGCCGGCCGAGGCGGUGGGAGGCGGCGGCGGCGGGGCCGCCGGCUGGAUGGGAAGUUCAUGUUGACGGCGGAGUCCACCCCAGGUUUCCAAGGUUACAUAAACAGUAAGAACUGCUGAGGAGAACAGACUAGCCUGCUGCCUGGAAGAGACUCAGACCUGCCUGAAGGAGAGAUUCUCUGACCUGUUGAGCUCUCUGCAAGUAGUGUAAUGAACUCCAGGGUUCCUGCUCUUGGUGAUGUAGCUGUCUUUGAGUUGUCCCUGCCUUGGCCCUUGCCCCUUUACCUAUACUCUUGUGAAUAACUCUAAUAAACUCGUUGGUUUGCCAGAUUGGACUUUGGUGGUAUCAUUACUUUGGUCCUGUCAUUGGUUCCCUCUUGAGUAAAC